CAUUUUCUGCAGGAGUCCACCCCUUGAGAGCAUGCUUUCUGAGGUCCUAGCAGUCCGACUCGAUUUUUUUGUAUUUAACAUGGCUAGGAAAAGCUUAUUUGUGUGCAUAUUAUGGAGUCAGUAUUAUGAUACCUGAAGUAAGUUUGCAAACAAAUUGCUCACAAUUUGAUAAUGCAUUAUGGUGCAUGUUGGAGUGGCGUGACUAGGCCGCAUCGGCGUGGAAACGUGGGCCGGUGAUAAACUGAUCCAUGGAGGGUUGCUGAGAGGCUAGCACAGCCACACGUGGACAGAAGGGUGGUGUGCUUCCAGAUGGAGACAGGUUGAGGCCCAACAUGACUGGCUGAAAUGGAGUGUGGUGUGGAUGGAUCCCUUCAAUAGCAACAUGCAAUCUGACUCUCAAAUGGCCAAGCGACUGUACAUGACAAGUUGACACCAGGAAUUGUAACAUUAACAUGCUUGUGGGGUUUCCUAUACAUGCAAUUUUGAAUCUGAUAACUUGAAAUGGAUUGGAUCUGUGUGGAUUUCAAUGUCCCGUAUGAAUAAAGCAUUUAUAAAC